AGACACCCAUUUUUGCUUUGAAUUAGAUGGAGAAGAUCCUCGCAGCGUACCGAAAAGCUUCAAGGCAGUGGUGCGCCACUACGAACAAGCUAGCUCAAGGUACGAUACCUGGUCAUGGCCCUUCUGCAAAGUAUGAUGUCCAUUUGAUGUCUUGUGUUAACCUAACCCCUUGGCUUGUUUCUGUUCUUCGCAUGGAUUUUUUUCAGUCAGGCAACGGGGCAGAAAGCGAACAAUGGUCGGGUAAAACUUGACCCGGAGUUACUGAAUGCUACAAAUUUGAACCUGCAACACCAUCCAUUGUGUUAGUUUGCACUCAUAGCGACUCAGCGGAAUUGGCUCUUGUAGAAUUGAAAUGGACGUCAAGUGAAUCAUUUGUAAAAGUACUUGUUGUACUUCCGUUANCUUGUUGUACUUCCGUUAGGAAUCAUAUACUGUAUCUCCUAACUCUUUAACUCUACUUUGUUGGAUGGUCGUUUUGUAUUGAGAGAGGCAUGCGGUGAAAUGUGAAUCGAAGCAAUUUAUUAAAAUUAUUACAACUAGCGUGUUCUCUGCAUUAGCAUAAGUUUAAACGAAACUCAGAACUCUGUACUGCCAGAUCACUAUGCGCCAAGCUAUGACCGCAUCACGUUUACGCAAGAGAAAAAAAUCAGCAUCACUUCAAAUAUCUUUUAG
rnacentral:lncRNA from 1 species